rnacentral:rRNA from 1 species
AGAGCGUAGGGCGGAUGCCUUGGCACUAAGAGCCGAUGAAGGACGUGAUAAGCUGCGAUAAGCUGCGGGGAAGAGCAAAUAUCUAUUGAUCCGCAGAUUUCCGAAUGGGGAAACCUACUGCAGAAGAGCUGCAGUGACUGUGCGUGAAUCCAUAGCGUACAGCCGGGAACCCGCUGAACUGAAACAUCUAAGUAGGCGGAGGAAGAGAAAACAACAGUGAUUCCGUAAGUAGCGGCGAGCGAACGCGGAAGAGCCCAAACCGCAGUGCGUGCACUGCGGGGUUCGGACUGCACACGGGAAUUGAAUCGUUACCGGAAAGACUUUGGAACAGUCUGCCACAGAGGGUGAAAGCCCCGUACGGGAAAACGAGUCGAGACCCAGCAGGAUCCAGAGUACCACGAGACACGUGAAACCUUGUGGGAAUGCGGGGGGACCACCCCCUAAGGCUAAAUACUACUUAGUGACCGAUAGUGCAUAGUACUGUGAAGGAAAGGUGAAAAGGACCCCGGGAGGGGAGUGAAAAAGAACCUGAAACCCUAUGUUUACAUGCAGUGGAAGUGCGAUACAUGAACGCACAACCGCGUACUUUUUGUAGAACGGUCCGGCGAGUUGCCGGUGCUGGCAAGGUUAAGGACUACAGGUCCGGAGCCGAAGGGAAACCGAGUCUUAAUAGGGCUUACAGUCAGCAUCGGCAGACCCGAAACCGGGUGAUCUAUCCAUGUCCAGGUUGAAGUCCCCGUAAAAGGGGAUGGAGGACCGAACACACAUCCGUUGAAAAGGGUGGUGAUGAGGUGUGGAUAGGGGAGAAAUUCCAAUCGAACCCGGAGAUAGCUGGUUCUCCUCGAAAUAGCUUUAGGGCUAGCCUCGACUUAGUCAGACGGAGGUAGAGCACUGAAUUCCUGAGGGGGCGUCAAAGCCUGCCAAGGGAUAUCAAACUGCGAAUGCCGUCCUGAUGAUGGUCGGGAGUCAGACUGCACGAGAUAAGUUGGGCAGUCAAAAGGGAAAGAGCCCAGACCUACAGCUAAGGUCCCAAAAUACGUGUUAAGUGGAAAAGGAUGUGGGAUUUCGAAGACAGCUAGGAUGUUGGCUUAGAAGCAGCCACACAUUCAAAGAGUGCGUAAUAGCUCACUAGUCGAGAGGUCCUGCGCCGAAAAUUUCCGGGGCUAAAACACGAUACCGAAGCUUAGGAAUGUAGCAAUACAUUGGUAGAGGAGCAAUCUCAGAGUGCCGAAGCGCUACCGCAAGGAAGCGUGGAGUUCUGAGAAGAGAGAAUGCCGGAAUGAGUAGCGAGAAUGAUGUGAGAAUCAUCAUGGCCGAAUAUCCAAGGAUUCCAGGGUAAAGCUGAUCUGCCCUGGGUAAGUCGGGACCUAAGGCGAGGGAGAGAUCCGUAGUCGAUGGACAGCAGGUUCAUAUUCCUGCACCUGACAUGAUCAGAACUGUGGGGACACAGGAACAAAACCGGACCCGGGAGAGCAAAGACCGGGCGAAGCGAAGCUAGGAGUGCGGUAGGCAAAUCCGCCGCACAAUCCGAAAGCGUGAUAGGGAGCGAAAUAUAAGUAGCGAAGCCGGUGGAGGGACUGUCGAGAAAAGCCGCUAUUGUAUCAUGUCAGCCCGUACCGCAAACCGACACAGGUGGAUGAGGAGAGAAUCCUAAGGCCGGCGGGAGAAGCAUUGUUAAGGAACUCGGCAAAAUGACCCCGUAACUUCGGGAGAAGGGGUGCCCAGGCAACUGGGCCGCAGAGAAAAGGCUCAAGCAACUGUUUAGCAAAAACACAGGUCUAUGCGAAACCGUAAGGUGAGGUAUAUGGGCUGACGCCUGCCCGGUGCUGGAAGGUUAAGAGGAGAGGUUAGCGCAAGCGAAGCUUUGAAUUGAAGCCCCAGUAAACGGCGGCCGUAACUAUAACGGUCCUAAGGUAGCGAAAUUCCUUGUCGGGUAAGUUCCGACCCGCACGAAAGGCGUAAUGAUUUGAGCGCUGUCUCAACAAUGCACCCGGUGAAAUUGAAGUACCAGUGAAGAUGCUGGUUACCCGCGCCAGGACGGAAAGACCCCAUGGAGCUUUACUCCAGCUUGAUACUGGGAUUCGGUAAUGUAUGCACAGGAUAGGUGGGAGACGAAGAAGAUAGAACUUCGGUUUUAUCAGAGUCGCUGUUGGGAUACCACCCUUAUGUUAUUGGAUUUCUAACCUUAGGCCGUAAGCCGGUCAAGGGACAAUGUCAGGUGGGGAGUUUGACUGGGGCGGUCGCCUCCGAAAGUGUAUCGGAGGCGCUCAAAGGUUCCCUCA